UAAAAUUGUAAUGAGGGGAUGCAGAACAGAACGUAAGAUGCAUCUCUUCGCAGGAUGCAAAUUAGAGUCGUAAAGCUCGUUGACGAACGUGGAAUUCUCAAUCACGUUUCAGGAGCUUCUUCGAAUCGAUUGUACGGCCCUGCGAGUUUGCAGUUCGAAUAAAUAAAAGAAGAAGGAGCCGAGUCGAGGAGUCGAGAAGGCGGCUAGGCGAGAGAGGUAGAAGAAGGCGAGCAUGAGAGCGAGAUGGAGUGACGCGAGGCGGUCGAAGUAAUCAGCAUCGGCUACCGAAAGUCUCAUCUCGUAAGACAGUCAACCCCUCCUCGAGUGUUUGCCGCCGCUAGUAUUUACCGAGUGAACAACGGUAGCCGUGUCUCUUGGCGCGCAUCUACACGAUCCACAGCUAUCCUACCAACAGGUAUAUAGUCUUCGCACCUUUGCCGUAACACGUUGGAGAAUGUAACAAAGAAUAACGAUUCAUCUUUUUUAAUAAAUCUAUCUUUAUAAAUAA